ACGGGACCGCACAAGCGGUGGAUGAUGUGGAUUAAUUCGAUGCAACGCGAAAACCUUACCUACCCUUGACAUGCCAGGAAUCUUGGUGAGAGCCGAGAGUGCCUUCGGGAGCCUGGACACAGGUGCUGCAUGGCUGUCGUCAGCUCGUGUCGUGAGAUGUUGGGUUAAGUCCCGCAACGAGCGCAACCCUUAUCCCUAGUUGCCAUCAGGUAAAGCUGGGAACUCUGGGGAGACUGCCGGUGAUAAACCGGAGGAAGGCGGGGAUGACGUCAAGUCCUCAUGGCCCUUACAUCCCGGGCUACACACGUGCUACAAUGGCAGGUACAGAGGGCUGCGAAGCCGCGAGGUGGAGCGAAUCCCAGAAAACCUGUCUCAGUCCGGAUUGAAGUCUGCAACUCGACUUCAUGAAGGCGGAAUCGCUAGUAAUCGUGGAUCAGAAUGUCACGGUGAAUACGUUCCCGGGUCUU
rnacentral:rRNA from 1 species